CGCGGUGAAUACGUUCCCGGACCUUGUACACACCGCCCGUCAAGCCAUGGAAGCUGGGUGUACCUAAAGUCGGUAACCGCAAGGAGCCGCCUAGGGUAAAACUAGUAACCGGGGCU
rnacentral:rRNA from 1 species